GGAAUAACCUUUAUAUUCAUUUGUCUCAUAUUUCAUACUUCAUACUCACUCUUAAACUAUGCACUUAAGGCUACGUACACCAUGCGGUAUCUUUCUCACAACAUGACAAAAUUCACGACAAACUUGCGACAACCGUACAACAAUAGUACAAAAUAAUAUCAAGUGUCGGUUAGAUUGGUCUCGAAAGUCUCUAUAAAAAAUUCACUUGAAGAAACAUCAAUAAUAUUUUAUCGCUAUGCGAAUCCAACAUUCAAUUGAACAUGAAAGUAUGAUUUGGGCAUGGCAUUUUUAAUCAUACAUAAACAUUUCAUUUUUAAACUCUUACAGACGUAUUUAAUGAAAUAUUACAUCUUCGCAAUAGCUAAACUCCGAAAAAAGAGAAAAAACAAGAGAAAAUUACUUUUAAACAAUGAUCUUUACUGAUUUUAUGGACAAGAAUGUCUGGCCCUUUUUAAUUUCACAUGACACACCUUUCGAUUGAAUUGGAUUUUGUUUAAAUGUUACUCUAAAAUUGAUGUGGUUUAAGAGUAAGUCGAAAUUUAGUCAAAUGGGAAGAUGUAUUAUUUAUUUUUACUAUUUAUGAGACCACGGAUGUUCAUGCUUAACAAUAGUUACAAAAUUUCCAUAAUCUAUAUUCUGAUAACUGUCACAUUAGAUUAAAAUUGUACAUUGAAAGGUUUUCUUGUGUACUAUAAAUAGCAGGUAUCGUUCCAAAAAAUACAACACGCCUUUUACGAAUUACUUUAGACCUUAACUUUUCAUAUUUAAUUUUAUGUUAGGCUUAAUAAUAUGUCCAUAAUAUUUCAAUAGUCAAUAAACAUAUUAGUUCAGACUGCUUCAUCAACGAGCCAUAAGGACGAACUCCUUUACAAAAACUAAAAUUCUGACAGUCAAGUUUAGGCGACAACAAAUUGUGUACCAUGAUCACUAACUAUAGUACACGGUAUACCCAAUAAUGGCGUGUGUAUUUACUGGUCCAGAUCCGUCAGUAAUGUCUCAACAGUGCCGUCAACGGUAAUCCCAAUAACUGUGGUAUGUAGAAUUUGACAAAUAUUUAUUCAAAACAUUAACAUUAUUAAAAAACCUUACCACUUAUUAAAAUCUAAAAACCCUUUGUAUCCUUUUUUGAUCACUAUAAAGAGGUAUUUUCGAUAUACGUUUCUAAUUUUGUGAAAAAGCUUCUUAGAGAGAAAUUUACGAAUACUCAACCACACGCUGACUUUAUAGUUUAUAGCCACUGUCGCAACACGUCACUAUAUUAGUGAAAAUAAUAUUUUGAGUAAGUUGUACUAUAUACAAAAAUCGCUCAUAAAAAAUCCAAACGUAUUUGGUAACAAACGUAUUGAGAAAAUAAUACGAAAAAUAAACAAUAGAUAAAAUUAUUUGUGAUGAAUGUCAUAUAAACAUGCGAAAUAGUGAUCACUGCUAAUAAACUAUUACAAAUCAAGUAGCCGUAGAAACGUAGAUAAAACUUGUCAUAAAAAAGCUUAAAAGUAGGUGAGACCUACAACAUUUAUCCAAAUAUCUAAAAUAAAAUAAUCAAUCAAUAAAAAAACUCGUAAACACUAACUUCACUAACAGUUAUUAUAAUUCAACACAAUAAUAAUUCUAAUAUAAAACUGCUACGUAAUAAUAAUAAUAAUUAAAGCGAAUCUGACGCAAACGAAAAAGUCUUAAAUAUUCCAAGAACACGCCAUACAUUAAUUAUAACCUUAAAACAGUUAUUCUCGUACACAAAAUAUGUCAUUUAUCUUAAAAACUACUAUUUUACUUUCACAGGUAUAUCUAUUUGAGCAGCCACAUACAUCCAGAGUUCAACUCUUAAUUCAAAGAUGGAAUUCAAAUUUUGAAACCAAAAAUCAAAAAUUUUGUAUGCAUCACAUUAAAAAAAAAAUCUGGUUACGAUUUUUUCGGAUCGAUCAGUCAUAAUAAUACAUAAUAUCAUUUUAUGAUUAUAUAUCCUGAAUUCAGAACACUAGUCAAUAUUAUUUAGUUGCGUCUGAAUUCUGGAUUAGAAAAUUUAAGAAUAUGAAUUUAGAACUUUUUCUAGUCACACACUCUGUAAGUGUUCUGUGUUCUCUACUAUUUGGGAAACAUAAGGCAAGUACCCAAUUUUAAGAUCUUGAAUUCCGCCUUUGAAUUCAGAAUAGAAUUCCGGAUGUUUGAGGCCGCCCUCAGUGCGUAAACCACAAUCUGACGCGCAAUCCUUAUCUUAUUCUACCUUCUUUUGUUAGCACAUCACAGAUCAUGUAUUUCAGUGGGGUUGCGUAAAUUGUUAAUUUUUUAAUAUUAAUUAUUAACUCAUCAUACAUUUUUUUCGUCUAUUUUAUAAUACUUUAAUAUUGCUUAAAAUUUUAAUCUAUGAACAUUUAUUUUAAUUUCGUGGUUUAUCAUUAAAUUAAAGUAAUUUACUUACACAUUAAAGAUUAAAAUAGUUGUGUCAAUGGAAAAUAAGUUUUUGGAAAAUUUCGUAAUUAGGUAGUUAGUAUACUUUUUUGAUAGUUCUUAUAAAUUAUAUCAGUAAGAUAAUGAAUUAUAAUGACGAUCUUGAUAAACAUUUCUUUAUCCAAUAUGGUAGCACAAAACCUUUUUUUCACUUAAGAUUAAAAUGGGCGACGAAAAAAUUAACGCAAAGAAAUUAGAUAAAUAACACAGUCUAAGUUUAGAAGUAAAUCCACGCUACCCCACCGUCCAGGCACAUCCAGCUAACAAAAUACAGCCUUCCCACUCUGCGCUAUGUUUACUUACAAAAUAACAUUACCUCUAUCAUAAAUUACUGUAUAAACGUAUGUUAAAGUUUCAACUUAAUUUAAUAACUUAGCUUACCGUACCGAAAGCUAAUUCCUAUUUGGCUUCUUUCAAGUUGAACUAUAAUUAUGUCUUGUUUUAAUAUUAUUAUUUAUGUUUAAUCUAAGUUGUUUAAAAAUGGCUCAAUUUGGUAUCGCUGUUAAUAAUAUUAUCAGGCAGUUUACACACUGAUAGCACAUUUGUAUCAUGUAGGAUACGUCUUCAAUUUUCAAUUUCAUUAAAACUACCGUGUUUACUUACACUGUGACUGAGAUAUUUUCAGUGUGUAAACAGCCUAAAUAUAUGUAUAUUAUAUCUUCAUAAAGGAACCUCUUAACAAAAUUAUGUCUUAUUCUUUUGAGCAAAGAGUAUUGCCCUCAGAAACUAUAUAUUUGUAUAAUAUAUUAAGUUAUAUUACAUCACUAAUAUCUUACUUAAAUAUUUUAAGUUUAAAUCGAUUGACCCACGUCCGGACUGACUGGAUUGCUUUAUAGAUACUAAUUUUAUUAUUUUAUAACUGUGCAUGAUGAUCUUUGUACUCAUUUCAAAGUCGGUUAGUAAUAAUAAAAAUGGCGCACUGCAAUAAAAAAUAAUGUCGGACGAUAAAUUUAUGCAGCGUGAAAUUCAUUGGUUGCUUAAAUGAUUGUCUUGAAUAGUACAAUCGAUUUAUCAGAAAAAAAAAUAUAGAAAAAAAUUAUAAGUAUUUACAAUAAUUAUGAAUAACAAAACACGUUUUUGUUAACGUGUUUUGUUAGUCACAGUUUUAAAGUCACAGUCUAGACACCGGACGCGGCCUUAUAUUUGUGAAAAAUAUUUUAUACUGAGAUCUCAUUUACAUUUCAUUUACUUUGUUCCAUCUCAAUACUGGUAUACAACUACUAUAUGACUACUAUUACUGAUCUAAGAAUUAAAAAUAGACGAUACAAGACAAUAAUUAUUAGUUCACCUUUUUUUAUAUAAACGCGAGCGUACGCGCCUUUUAUUUUUUAAUGUGCAAAGUUUGUUUCCAUUCUCUUUUUUUUAUACCUUUAACAUUCCUAAGCUAUACAAAAAUAUCAUUUUCUAACAGACCCUUUAAUGUUGAUUCCGUCAUAUCAAGGUACUUUAAGGACCUUCUAGGAUUCCAUUGCAUUUGCCACACAGUAUUGUACAUACAUUUUGAGAAAGGUCUUGCUCUAUGUGUCAACUGUCAAAAGAAUAUUUUAGUCCUUAAUUAAACCAUACUUUUGACAUGACUUUAAUGUGUCAUAGACCAAAAAUGGCGAGGGCGUUCUCAAAAUGUAUGUAUUAUAUACGGUACGUUAGAUACCUUUACGCCAUAGACCGCUUUUAUCACACUAAUGCAUAGGCAAGCGGCAGCGAAACUAUUAAUUCCUUUAUUCCUUGGACAUAAAGGCGUUGGCGAUUCGUUACUGCUUGCAAAUGCGUUGCUGUGCUAAAGGGGCUUAAUAAGCUUACAUCAUACAACCAAGUAUUUUAAAUAGAGUUUUGUGUGUGAACACAAUUACUAAGUGCGUGACGAUACGUAUAUCUGUAACUAAGGUAAGAACAUAUCGAGGUAUUGAUAAUAUAAAAGGUAAGCGAAAAAUGAAUAAUUAAAAUGGUCUGACAUUAAAGGGUCCAUAACCAAGCAUAAAUAACAAUUUAGAUAACGGAAGACAAGCAAAAAGAAAUUUGGAAGACAAUAAGCCGAAAUGUAUCGAAAUAAUUCAGUUACUUAAAUUUAACAUCACAAAACAUAAGUAACAAAUGCUUAUUUAAAAUCGAUAAUACAUCCGAUUCAAUAUCGAUGAAAUGUAUAAAAUAUGUACCCACUGUAUCAAAUUAGUAACCCGUCUAACACUCCUUUUCGAUACAAAAUCAUCUUGCAUUUCAUGCAAAUACUUUAGUAUGAGUCCUUGGAAUAACGGGCGACGUGAAAGAUAGAUCGAUUGUAUUUUAUACUUUUUAUCGAUAUCAAAUCAGAUAAUGAUGCUAAUUCGAUUGUAUCGUACAUAAAUCUCUAAGUAAACCAAAAUUUACAGGUCUAAAAGUAGUACCUACAUCCAUUUCACAGUGGAGAAGGAAGCAUUGCUUUCAGACCGAUCAAAUCAAUUAAGAGAAUUGUGUAUUGAAUUAGCACAAAUAAUGCGAAUAAGGCGUUACUAAAUCAUUGAAUAGUCCAUCGUAGUACUGUACAACAUUUCACAAUCCAUAUCACAUCACUAAACAAACUUGCACAUUUCACCUGGUUCCAGCGAUCGCGUCACCACUCAAGGGAUAAUAAAAACACUGAUUGAUAAAACGCCACGGUAUACAUUUUUUUUUUAAUUUUAACAAAAACUUAAAAAAUUCUUAACCUAGACUGGGUUAAGAAUUUCUUAAGCUUUAACAGACCCACUACAAACUUUAAGUCUAAAAUCUAAGCUUAUUGAUUCUGUUCAGACUUCAAGUUAAAACGAAACGGAUUUUUUCUCUGACGUAACUUGCGAGUUAACACGAGAAUUUAUGUCUCUUGCGUAACUUAGUACAAACUUUUACUCUUAAGUUGAAGAAGAAAAGGGAAAAGUCAGGUUUACCAUGACUGAAUUACUU